GGUCUUAUGGUUUAAAAAAAAUAUUAGACUGCAAUUCUAAAGUUACGCCUGAUUUAGGGUGUUAAGACCU
rnacentral:tRNA from 1 species